AGACGUACUUUGUGUAGGCGGCAAUGGGAUUUGGGGGGUUAAAACAUGAAAGAUUUCUGUGCUGGGCUAAGCCCCCAAUAUUUCAAGAGCCUGGAAACGCAGUAUGUUGUCCCUGAUGGAGCUCAAUCACGGAUUGAAACACUGAGAUUAAAACAAGGAGUGUGUGCGUUCUACAAUUUAUAUUUGCUUCCAGUACCUGUUGAAGAGGUUCUUGGAUGUGCAAAGCUUCUCAAUAAUUUAAAUGUACAAUAAAUGUCAAAACAGGGUGGGAAAUUCAUAUUAAACGUGAUAUUUUGUCUGGGUUAAUUAUAGAACGCAAAAGAAUAUAUUAACAACACCUUUUGUUAGGGAUGUGUAUGUCAUGUUGUAACGUGCUGCUGGAUCUCUUCAGUUUUCCUGACUCACCUGCAGUCUUCUGUUUCUUCAGGGGGGGCUGGGUGGAGGUGGAACCCUGUAUUCCUGAUGCCACGACAACCUGGGCUGUGGGCACAGAGAUGACGGUUGGAGUGCCUGGUGUUACCAUGGCAACAGUAGCAGUGGCUUUCUUGACGACCUUCUUAGACCCGUCGGAGGAAGCGGGCACAGUUCCAUCUUCAUACAGCUUCCUCUUCACUGUGCUCUUUGUCGGACCACUGGGGGGAACAUGGGAACUGCAAUGAUUUUAGUAUAUCAGUACUAAAAUCAUCAAUCAACCAGGUUAACAGGAGCAUCACAUGUGAGAGAUGGCCAACAAGUGCAUCCACAGUAAAAGUAUCACUUCUUCAAAUCCUGAAAGGGCCUGUUUUCACUGUCAGCUGAUGGCAACUGCAAUAGCAUGUGGCUGAUCCCUGUUAAUUAUGUGGAAAUAAAAUAAAACCAAUAAAGUCUCUGGGCUCCACUGAGCUAUUUUCUUAAUUGACAGAAAGGCCUCAUUAGCCAGUUGUAUCCCAGAAAGGGCUAAAAAAAAAACUCUUUAAAAAGAAGUCUCAACAGGACUUCACCAGAAAUACACUUCACCGGUUGGGAGUACUCAUAAGUAGCAGCAUUGGCUUCAGUUUUUGAUUGAUUGAUGUAAUGUUAUUGUUUCUUUAUUUUGUACUAUGAAGGUUUAACACUGUACCUUUUUGAGUAUGAUGAUAAAGAAGCGAAAUAAAUUGAUUCCAUAUCUUCCA